AGGACGAACGCUGGCGGCGUGCCUAACACAUGCAAGUCGCACGAGAAAGGGGAGCAAUCCCUGAGUACAGUGGCGCACGGGUGAGUAACACGUGAAUAAUCUACCUCCGAGUGGGGAAUAACUGAGAGAAAUCUUAGCUAAUACCGCAUAACACUUACGAGUCAAAGCAGCAAUGCGCUUGGAGAGGAGUUCGCGGCCGAUUAGUUAGUUGGCGGGGUAAUGGCCCACCAAGACGAUGAUCGGUA
rnacentral:rRNA from 1 species